UUUAGAAACACUCUCAAAUCUCUCUCAAUCACUCAAAAUCGUUGCUGAAAGUUCAGGUUCGAGCAGAUUCAUCAAGCUUUACGAAAAUGGGCAUAACUUCUUCAUUUCUUAUCCGUUUUGGUCCAUAUUUUUUCCAGAACGCUUGGCUUGACCUUGGCCUUGAUUCUAGGGGUGUUUCACAGCAAACAAGUCCCUGGAACUCCGGCAAAAAGGCUUCAAAGUCCACUGUUUAAGUUUGUUUUCAUUAAUCUUUGUUUAGACAUGAGUUUAACUCACUCAAACCUAUGUCCUUAUGCUUAUAACCACUCCUAUUGUUAGUUAGGCUUAAAAACAAGGUUGAGACAUACAAAAUCAGAGGAUAAUCCUCAAAUACUUUCUGUUUUGUUUAGGGUUUUGGACCCACAAGUCAUGUUCAAGCUUCAAGCUUGAUGAAGGAGUGGUUAUGGAUCAACUUGGGUUAUCCAACAUAGAAUCCCCACAUGAUUUGAUGAUUUCUCAUAGUAUAGUUGUUCUUAUUAUUGUCUUAAUAUUGUUCAAGACCCUCCUUGUUUGUUUUUACAUCAAGUGUAGUGGUGAACACAUAAGAGGUGCCUAAAUGGGAGCUUGUUCUUCCUACCUCCUACAUGACUUCUAUGACACAUUUGAGGUACCUAAAUGAGGAUUAAAUCUUCUACCUCAUGCUUGAAAUACUUGUAGUAAGGACUUAUUAAUAUAUACUUCAUAACCUAAAUAAUAUUUAUGUACAUUCGAACCUUUGAUGUUGAAUUCAUGUUCAUUUGUCAAAGUAGUAGGACAUCAUCUAGGACCUAAACCUUGUUAUGAUUCUUAUGAGUGUUCAACUCAUGAAAACAUUAUUAUAACCCUCGUGGUUACCAAGUGUCAUACAAGUGUUACGUGUUGAAGAUGAUUAUGUUGAUAUAAUACUUUCAUGUUGUUUUAUUCCGAAUCUCGACUCUAAGCAUACUUGAACUUUAACCCUUAUACAUUCGGACUCUAAAUCUCUACUCGUCAACAAUUGGAUAAUCGGAAAUCAUAUGCAAACUUUGUUUAGCGAUGAUGUUGGUGAUGCAUGGAAUCUAGUAGGAUGCUUAGAUACACACUCUAAAAUUUGUAUUCAUAUUGUAUAGUAUUUCAUCAUUCACGUUGUUGUAUUUUGCUUCAAAUCCUUGUAAUUUUAGAAAUGAAAUGAAAUUAUUG
rnacentral:lncRNA from 1 species